rnacentral:rRNA from 1 species
AUUAUGCUGGUUUUCUGCGAAAUUUGUUUUAGCAAAUUGUUUAUUUCUAUUAAUUAGUAGGUAUAGCACUGAAUAUAUAGAAGGAGUUUAAUAAAACUUAUUUCAUAUAUUUAAUCUCAGAAUGACUAAUUAUUUAAAUAAUAAAUAAUCAGACUUUUUGCGAUAAGGUGAAAAGUCAAGAGGGAAACAGCCCAGAAUAGUAAUUAAAGCUCCCCAAUUAAUAUUAAGUGAGAAUUCCCAUGUNNUUUUUUAUUA